UCAGAUCGAAUUGGGAUGACUUUCUCCACGUCAUUAAGGAUCUUCUAUUACCAAGCAUGGGUCAUCUUCUUUUGACAAUUGGUAAUGUUUGCACUUCACAGUAAAUUGGGCAUAUUCACUGGUUCUUCCUCCUACAAUGGUGCAUGCACAAAUUUUAAUAAUUCCGUGUGCUGGCCAGUAAACUUCCAGUGUUUACUUUCUCAGACUUCUCACUAGCUUAUGUUGUCUGUUACAUUGAAGCGGUUUGAAAAAGCAAGCAAAUCGUUCGAGCCUACCUAUUUAUAUGGUGUGGAGAAGGUAAGGUUCUUGGCUUAUUGAUAUCAUCUGGUCAUUUUUAUUGAUGCGGGACUACUUAAUGAACUUCCUAGCUCUGGCACUGACAGCAAGAAAAUAAGCUUCUUUAACCAGGUGUGUCUUCUGUUGUAUCCUUGAAAUAUUUCACGACAUACGUUGAAUGGAUGAUAGAUCGCAUACUUGCAAGGGAUAUUUACUAACAAACUACCAAAAAUAUAUAGUUGCUUUAUUGUGACAAUUUUUUAUAUAAAAGGCACAUGUGAGCUUGGUUAGUAGUUUUCUGUUGGAAGUCCAUGGGAUUUCAUAUGCACAAGUAGAUGUAUUGUUUCUUUCAUAUGCAUGAACUAUCCAGAAUACUCGAUUAUUCUCUUUGUUUCAAGUUUGCUGUUCUUUUCGAGAUUAAACCCAUGGUGAACAAUUGGGAUUAUAUAUAACUAAAAUAGGUUUGAUUCGCAAACACUGAAGCAUGUUUGGUUUCAAAUGUAUCUUUGCUUAGUGCAGGUCUUACAAAUUAGUUCUGAAAGUAGGCUUCAAUCCACCAAGAUCUCGAUGGAGCUUGAACAUUGAUGUGAGACGAAUAUCAAAUCUUAAAUUGUAGUGCAAGCAUCUAUCAUCUACAAAUACUAUGUGGUAGAAAUAAUGAUGAGAGGAUGUCUAUUGUGCUUCUUUUAGGUUGCAAUGGAACUUCUAUUUCUAUCUAUGUACUCCAGAUAGCCUCCACUGUACCUAUCACUUGUGAUCGAGGACAAUUCCAUGUGUACUAAAAUUUCUUGUGCUAUCACUUAGAUUUGUGUUCCGUGCCACUCUAAUCUUCUACCUAUGCAAUCUCAGCAGCUUCUCAUGUAUGAAUAAUUACUUGCAUAUACUGUCUAGAUCUUAUGGUCAAGUUGGUUAUACAUUUUGGUUUGACAAGUGGUGCGGCGCUUUUCCUAUCUAACGGAAAACCAUGUAUAUGUAACCAACAAGAACAAAUUAUCUCCUGGAAGGAACUUUUUUCUUACCUGUAGUUGUUUUGUUUAUAGAAAUAAUGCAUUUACCAUUUGUUGUAACAAACAUUUUUAUUUUUUGGCAUGCAUGGUUUCAGCCUUUGGUGCUCAAUUCUGUAAAUUGAUAAUUCGCAUAAUAUAUAGAAAUUUUCCUAAAAAGUUUUCAGAUGUUUUUAUAAAUCUUAAACCUACUAUCCUCUGUUGAUUGCUCUAUGGUGUAUUACUGAUUUUGCAUGUUGCAGGGAGCAGGAACCGACGCUGUCUAGGAGGUAGCCGAAGAGGGGUUCGUCUGCGUGUUUGCUUUGUUUCCUGAUGGCUACCAUGAGGUUGGUGUUAAGUGAGCACGAAGUUGUCAUCAUUCGUGAAUCAUCUGUUUCGUCUUCGUUUCGUCCAGCUUGACCUUCAUCCGUCGUCAAGGUAGGAUUCCUCAUGUGUUCAUCCAUAUAUAUAUAAAGCACACUCAUGGUGUCGUGGCUCGUGCGUGACCUACCACUGGAGGUACACAAAGUUCCUCAGCCUGAAUCGAGAUGCACUGCUGAACGAUUGGCUCAUGACACCCUUGUCUGUGAGAUUUCUGAAGAUCAUUUGCCCAUAAAGAUUUCUGAAUGUCUUUGAAUAUUGAGUUUCUUAAAGCUUUGUUCUGCCUGUGUAUAGAACACAUGAAGUGAGAGUCUCUGAUCAAGGAGUAGGCUAUUCUGCAGGACAAGAGGCUGCCUGAAUGUGACUAAUUGCAGAAGAAUUUUGGAUAGGAUUAGUGCUCGGCAAUUGGUAUUACCAGGUUGGCACGCAGAUUUCAGCCUCUUUGUUGAGGCUUGCAGUGGUUAGUCUGGGAUGAGCUCCAGGGAUGGGUCAUUUCAUAUCUGUCCUUUUCUUUGAUUUCUUUUUGGUUCCUGCUCUGUAAGGUGAUUCUCGGCUGAAAUUACCAAUGAAGGUAAUUAUGGUCUACCACAACUAUCAAUCCAUAUUUUAACUUGGAGUUGAACACCUGCACAAUAGUAUAAAGUUUCCAUGUUCUGGCUGUAAUAGGAUAUAUCAGGGCAUUUUGAAAAGCCAAUCCAUUAUCAUGGUACCAUGGAACAAACAAAUAGUUACCUCACUUUUUGGUAUUUUCAUGAAAGCUUUGGGUUGGGAGGUGUGUUGCAUCCAAGUUGUAUUGCUUCAUUGAUUCUCAUCUCAGUUUCUCUCUGCUUAAUGUGUGGGAAUUAGACAACAUGUGCUGAAAAUGAUUGCUGGUCAAUCUAGCAUGGAAUUUUGUGUAACUUAACAUUAUAGUUACAUCACUGGUCUUUUAUUUUGUACUUGUCAUACAGUUUGUAUCAACCUACAUCCUGCUACUUUGAUGUACAAAUACAUUUCCAUAGUUUUUAGCUCACGUUGUAUACUGGUAAUUUGAUUGCUCUAAUAUUGUUUCAGGAUAAACAACCCUGUAGAGCUUGCGGCUGUAGGUGUAUCUAUUGUCGUGUAUAGUAAGUUUUUGAGUCUGAACAUUUUCCGCUGCAAACACUAGGGAGUGUCUCAAUUAUCGAAAACAUGAAAGUCUGUUGCU